CUCCACUUGUUUGUCUUCUAUUAUAUAAGCCAACUCCGAUCUUUGUAUUAGAGAACGUCACUCAAGUCUGCCAGCUGUCUACAUUCUCGGCACCAACUGAAUUACCCGAGCCCAAAGAUGUUCACCAUGAAGAAAUCCCUGUUACUCCUUUUCUUUCUUGGAACCAUCUCCUUGUCUCUCUGUGAGCAAGAGAGAGAUGCCGAUGAAGAUGAAGUUGUAGAAGAAGAAAAAAGAGGUCUCUGGGAAACUAUUAAGAAUUUUGGGAAGAAGUUUACGCUGAAUAUAUUGCAUAAUCUAAAAUGUAAAAUUGGUGGAGGAUGCUAAGCCUGAAUCGGAAGUCAUCUGAUGCUGAAUAUCAUUUGGCUAAAUCUUUAAAGUCUUAUUGAAAAAAAAAAAAAAUAUUCACA